rnacentral:rRNA from 1 species
UGGGGGAUAUUGGACAAUGGGGGCAACCCUGAUCCAGCGACGCCGCGUGAGGGAAGAAGGUUUUCGGAUUGUAAACCUCUGUUGACGGAGAAAAAAAUGAUGGUAUCCGUUUAGAAAGCCACGGCUAACUACGUGCCAGCAGCCGCGGUAAUACGUAGGUGGCAAGCGUUGUCCGGAAUUACUGGGUGUAAAGGGAGUGUAGGCGGGAUAUCAAGUCAGAAGUGAAAAUUACGGGCUCAACUCGUAACCUGCUUUUGAAACUGACAUUCUUGAGUGAAGUAGAGGCAAGCGGAAUUCCUAGUGUAGCGGUGAAAUGCGUAGAUAUUAGGAGGAACACCAGUGGCGAAGGCGGCUUGCUGGGCUUUUACUGACGCUGAGGCUCGAAAGCGUGGGGAGCAGACAGGAUUAGAUACCCUGGUAGUCCACGCCGUAAACGAUGAUUACUAGGUGUGGGGGGAUUGACCCCUUCCGUGCCGGAGUAAACACAAUAAGUAAUCCACCUGGGGAGUACGACCGCAAGGUUGAAACUCAAAGGAAUUGACGGGGGCCCGCACAAGCAGUGGAGUAUGUGGUUUAAUUCGACGCAACGCGAAGAACCUUACCAGGUCUUGACAUCAAGUGACCGCCUAAGAGAUUAGGUUUUCCCUUCGGGGACACAAAGACAGGUGGUGCAUGGUUGUCGUCAGCUCGUGUCGUGAGAUGUUGGGUUAAGUCCCGCAACGAGCGCAACCCUUAUCAUUAGUUGCUACGCAAGAGCACUCUAAUGAGACUGCCGUUGACAAAACGGAGGAAGGUGGGGAUGACGUCAAAUCAUCAUGCCCUUUAUGACCUGGGCUACACACGUACUACAAUGGCGUUUAACAAAGAGAAGCAAAGCCGCGAGGCAGAGCAAAUCUCCAAAAAACGUCUCAGUUCGGAUUGUAGGCUGCAACUCGCCUACAUGAAGUCGGAAUUGCUAGUAAUCGUAGGUCAGCAUACUACGGUGAAUACGUUCCC